rnacentral:rRNA from 1 species
AGCGAGUCUGCCUUGAAGAUAGAGUGCUUGCACUCUGUGAAACAAGAUACAGGCUAGCGGCGGACGGGUGAGUAACACGUGGGUAACCUGCCCAAGAGAUCGGGAUAACACCUGGAAACAGAUGCUAAUACCGGAUAACAACAGAUGAUGCCUAUCAACUGUUUAAAAGAUGGUUCUGCUAUCACUCUUGGAUGGACCUGCGGUGCAUUAGCUAGUUGGUAGGGUAACGGCCUACCAAGGCGAUGAUGCAUAGCCGAGUUGAGAGACUGAUCGGCCACAUUGGGACUGAGACACGGCCCAAACUCCUACGGGAGGCAGCAGUAGGGAAUCUUCCACAAUGGACGCAAGUCUGAUGGAGCAACGCCGCGUGAGUGAAGAAGGGUUUCGGCUCGUAAAGCUCUGUUGUUGGUGAAGAAGGACAGGGGUAGUAACUGACCUUUGUUUGACGGUAAUCAAUUAGAAAGUCACGGCUAACUACGUGCCAGCAGCCGCGGUAAUACGUAGGUGGCGAGCGUUGUCCGGAUUUAUUGGGCGUAAAGCGAGUGCAGGCGGCUCGAUAAGUCUGAUGUGAAAGCCUUCGGCUCAACCGGAGAAUUGCAUCAGAAACUGUCGAGCUUGAGUACAGAAGAGGAGAGUGGAACUCCAUGUGUAGCGGUGAAAUGCGUAGAUAUAUGGAAGAACACCGGUGGCGAAGGCGGCUCUCUGGUCUGUUACUGACGCUGAGGCUCGAAAGCAUGGGUAGCGAACAGGAUUAGAUACCCUGGUAGUCCAUGCCGUAAACGAUGAGUGCUAAGUGUUG